rnacentral:rRNA from 1 species
CCUACGGGAGGCAGCAGUGGGGAAUAUUGGGCAAUGGGCGAAAGCCUGACCCAGCAAUGCCAUGUGGGUGAAGAAGGCCUGCGGGUUGUAAAGCCCUUUCGGCAGGAAAGAAUGAUCCGAUGUUAAUACCAUUGGAUUUUGACGUUACCUGCAGAAGAAGCACCGGCUAACUCCGUGCCAGCAGCCGCGGUAAU